rnacentral:antisense_RNA from 1 species
CUUCACCGAACCGAGCCACAACGGAUCGCCCUCGCCGCGAUCCUGACCGUAAGUGGCCAGCAGCGCCUGCGCCUC